GAAGUGAGCCAAGCGAUCGCUGCUGUGAAGGUCUUCGUGACUAAAGCAGGAGAGGAAAGUCCGGGCUUCAAAGGGUAAGGUGCCAGAUAACGUCUGGGCGGCGUGAGCCGACGGCAAGUGCAGCAGAGAGUAGACCGCCGAAAUCCCCCUCAAUCCCCCUUUUACUAAGGGGGAACUCAGUGGGAUUUGGUAAGGGUGAAAGGGUGCGGUAAGAGCGCACCGCAUGCCUGGUAACAGGACAUGGCAAGGUAAACCCCACCUGAAGCAAGACCAAAUAGGAAUCCUGAGGCGUGACCCGCGCUGGAUUUGGGUAGGUUGCUGGAGCGUAUGAGUGAUUGUGCGCCUAGAGGAAUGAUCGUUCACGACAGAACCCGGCUUAUCGGCUCACUUCGAUC
rnacentral:RNase_P_RNA from 1 species